rnacentral:lncRNA from 1 species
CCCGACAAUACCAAUAACAAAAUGAAACGCAAAACUAUAUUUAGAGUCUAUAAAGGCCGUGUUAAUCCAGUUCGUUAAAAGGUCUGUUUGAUUCAUGCACUUGUACAUAACUAAGUCAUCCCAUAAAUAAUCAUGUACAAAGAGUUCGUGUAACGUUGGAAUCGUUAUAAAAUAAAUUGUUAAGCUAGUUUUUUUGGUGAUACGCAUUUCAAUUCUUUUGAUUUUAUCAUGUUUAUCAAGAUGAAUAAAAUAAUUUCAUGCUGAAAAUG